UACGGAGGGUGCAAGCGUUAUCCGGAUUCACUGGGUUUAAAGGGUGCGUAGGAGGGCAGGUAAGUCAGUGGUGAAAUCCCCGAGCUUAACUUGGGAACUGCCGUUGAUACUAUCUGUCUUGAAUACCGUGGAGGUGAGCGGAAUAUGUCAUGUAGCGGUGAAAAUGCUUAGAUAUGACAUAGAACACCAAUUGCGAAGGCAGCUCGCUACACGAAUAUUGACUCUGAGGCACGAAAAGCGUGGGGGAUCAAACAGG
rnacentral:rRNA from 1 species